rnacentral:lncRNA from 1 species
AGACUUGUACUGUACUCUCUCAUGGUGUAUGAUAGCCCCCAGCUCUUUCAUUAUUAGAGAAACCAACAAUACAUUUUAAACUUACGGUAAGUUAGAUUCAUUAGAAUCUCAGAUUCUAAGAAUGAAAUCCUUAGAAUUGAAUUAGACUCAUUGUUUUCGUAUUAAUGUCUUUUUCUGCAGGAGAUGGUGGAGUUAAAGAUGCAUGAAGGAAGGAAGGGAGAAGAUGUCUCAAAUAAGAAGAGGAGCCGUACAAGGGGUAGAGCUUGGUAGAUGACAGAAGAGGUGCAGAGGAAGAAAAGAGAAAGUGACAUUAGCAUGUCACUUUUAACACGAUAAUCCUCACUAGGGUUUCUCUGGGACAAUUACCAAAAUGUUCUCCGAGAAUAAAGCAGGAAGAUCAUGAGAGCAGACUGGAGAGUGUGAUGACUGAACCAGUAAAAUCAUGCUAGAGAAAGAGGACCAAAGAGAAAAGUGCACAUCAACAGCAAACACUCUCAUUCACUUAGACCAAUCAUCGCGGAGGCUGAAGGACUUUCUGGGUUUGGUCUCAAGGAAGACUGGAGAAAUUAAGGCUGAUGCAGGCACAUCACCAAAGACAAGAGAUCCAGACUUCCAGGAGUGAAACAACAGAAAACAACCAGUGGCUCACCGUGACACUGGAAAUGGCUGUGAAGAACGCAGAAUGCUGAGAGUCAACUGUCCAGUGGAUGAACAUGAGAAAGAACUAAGACAACCCCUCGAUUUCCUAAAUAUGCCAAAGGAAAGCCUCCCUUGGGGAAUGGCUGAUGCUUGGAAUAUAGAUGGCAUGUAUACUUAUUUACUUUACAAACUGGGGUCAGUUUGACAUUAUAUGAUAAGCUGUAAGGAGAAGAAAUCUUCUUACCUCUCUACAUUCCUAAUUUGGCUGUAAAUGUGGUGUGCUGCAGGCAAGUCACAUUGGCACGUGAGAGCAGACUGUUAAAUUCUCAGAAAUUUUGUAAACCAGUUGUUAAAC